UCUUAUCAAGAGCGGCGGAGGGACUGGCCCGACGAUGCCCGGCAACCAUUAAGUAAAGCUUAAAAGGUGCUAAUUCCUGCAGGAUGCGAAUCCUGGUAGAUAAGA
rnacentral:ncRNA from 1 species